rnacentral:rRNA from 1 species
AAUCAACGCUGGCGGCGUGCCUCAGACAUGCAAGUCGAACGAUUAAGACUUCCUUCGGGAAGUGCAUAAAGUGGCGCACGGGUGAGUAACACGUAAGUAAUCUACCCUCGAGUGGGGAAUAACGUUCGGAAACGAACGCUAAUACCGCAUAACGCAGCGGCACCGCAAGGUGACAGUUGUUAACGGGGCAAUCCGCUUGAGGAGGAGCUUGCGGCAGAUUAGCUAGUUGGUAAGGUAAUGGCUUACCAAGGCUACGAUCUGUAUCCGGUCUAAGAGGACGGUCGGACACACUGACACUGAAUAACGGGUCAGACUCCUACGGGAGGCAGCAGUCGGGAAUUUUGGGCAAUGGGCGAAAGCCUGACCCAGCAACGCCGCGUGAAGGAUGAAGUAUUUCGGUAUGUAAACUUCGAAAGAAUGGGAAGAAUAAAUGACGGUACCAUUUAUAAGCUCCGGCUAACUACGUGCCAGCAGCCGCCGUAAGAC